rnacentral:rRNA from 1 species
AUUAGCUGGUUGGUGAGGUAACGGCCCACCAAGGCGACGAUGCGUAGCCGACCUGAGAGGGUGAUCGGCCACAUUGGGACUGAGAUACGGCCCAGACUCCUACGGGAGGCAGCAGUGGGGAAUAUUGGGCAAUGGAGGAAACUCUGACCCAGCAAUGCCGCGUGAAUGAAGAAGGUCUUCGGAUUGUAAAGUUCUUUAGUCAGGGAAGAAGUCAAUGACGGUACCUGAAGAAUAAGCUCCGGCUAACUACGUGCCAGCAGCCGCGGUAAUACGUAGGGAGCAAGCGUUGUUCGGAAUGACUAGGCGUAAAGGGUGCGUAGGCGGUUGUACAAGUUAGAAGUGAAAUACCCAGGGCUUAACUCGGGUGCUGCUUCUAAAACUGUAUGACUUGAGUGCAGGAGAGGUAAGCGGAAUUCCUAGUGUAGCGGUGAAAUGCGUAGAUAUUAGGAGGAACACCAGUGGCGAAGGCGGCUUACUGGACUGUAACUGACGUUGAGGCUCGAAAGCGUGGGGAGCAAACAGGAUUAGAUACCCUGGUAGUCCACGCCGUAAACGAUG